rnacentral:rRNA from 1 species
CAGCAGCCGCGGGAAUACGAAGGGUGCAAGCGUUACUCGCAAUUACUGGGCGUAAAGCGUGCGUAGGUGGUGGUUUAAGUCCGUUGUGAAAGCCCUGGGCUCAACCUGGGAAUUGCAGUGGAUACUGGGUCACUAGAGUGUUGUAGAGGAUAGUGGAAUUUCCGGUGUAGCAGUGAAAUGCGUAGAGAUCGGAAGGAACAUCUGUGGCGAAGGCGACUAUCUGGGCCAACACUGACACUGAGGCACGAAAGCGUGGGGAGCAAACAGGAUUAGAUACCCCAGUAGUCCCUGUCUCUUAUAC